rnacentral:rRNA from 1 species
AUUGAACGCUGGCGGCGUGCCUAACACAUGCAAGUCGAGCGGAUAGAGGGGGAGUUCGCCUCUAUUCAGCUACCGACGGGUGGGUAAGUCCUACGAAUCUACCUGAUCUUGGAGAAUGACAUCCGUUAACGGGCGCUAAUACCACAUACGUCCUGAUGGAGAACGGCAGGGAUCUUCAGACCUCACCCUAUCAGCUGAUCCUAAGCCAUAUUAGCUAGUUGGUAAGGUAACGGCUUACCAAGGCGACGAUGCGUAGCCGCCCUGAGAGGGUGAUCAGCCACACUGGAACUGAGACACGGUCCAGACUCCUACGGGAGGCAGCAGUAGGGAAUCUUCCACAAUGGGCGAAAGCCUGACGGAGCAACGCCGCGUGAGUGAAGAAGGUCUUCGGAUCGUAAAACUCUGUUAGUAGGGAAGAACAAAUGUGUAAGUAACUAUGCACGUCUUGACGGUACCUAAUCAGAAAGCCACGGCUAACUACGUG